CCAGUCGGUCGGAUGGUCGCGCGCUCAAGGCUCGAAAGGGCGAGCGGGAGGAAAGUCCGGGCUCCACGGAGAAACGGUGCCGGGUAACGCCCGGCGGGGGCGACCCCAGGGAAAGUGCCACAGAAAACAGACCACCCCGGAUGCGUCCGGGGCCAGGGUGAAAAGGUGGGGUAAGAGCCCACCGCGGGACCGGCAACGGGACCGGCACGGAAAACCCCACCGGGAGCAAGACCGAAUAGGGACGGCGUGACGGGGCAACCCGUCAGCUCAUUCUCCGAGCGAGCUGUCCGGGUAGGUCGCGCGAGGUGUCCGGCGACGGGCAUCCCAGAUGAAUGACCAUCACGCGGGCGCAAGUCCGCCCUACAGAACCCGGCUUACAGACCGACUGGCGUC
rnacentral:RNase_P_RNA from 1 species